rnacentral:lncRNA from 1 species
AACAUAUAAUUACUGGGUACAUUUCUUCCAUUUCAGCCAUCCUUUGAAGUUUUUACACCUCAAAAUCCUUAAACGGCGAAAAUGAGCACCCCACUCUAACUAACUUGAAUCUUUCACAUUAACAAAAAACUUUUUCUUGAUUUUAUUUUCUUGAAUUUAUUUUAACUCACAACAACUAUUUACUCUAGUUAAAUGUUUCGAUGUUGAUACUGGAGAAAUCAAGCACCUACUCCUUCAAAUGAGUGCCAGCGCGCAUUUCUUUGGUUUUGUAAAUUUUCAUGAACAUUUGUAUAUAGAGAGACAUUUUCCAUGCUUUUUUGUUGAACAGAUAGUUAAAACGAAGUUGCAAUAGAUAAUACUGCGUCAUGUGAUUAUUUAUUUUAGUUUCAUAUUUUGAUACCGUUGAAUGAUUUGUAAGAGAAAGAAAAAGAUGACUGUUAAUAGAAUGUAUGAAUCUUGGAUAUUGACUGUGAUGGGUGAUAGUUGUAUAAGAAUGGAAGCUGUGAUUGAAAAGUGAGGUUGUACAUGUUGAGAAGUAUGUCUGGGGUCUGUGAUACAAAAGUGAUUGUGUUGAAGUAUUCCCUUCAUUGCUGAUAUGUGAAUUAACUUGAAUUUUGUCAACAGAAAAUAUAAAAUUUAUCACAUUAAAAAUUCUCAUUGAAAUUUUAUCCCCAAAAAUCUGUCUCUAUAUAAAUAGAGAUCAAUUCAUUUAAAAAGGGGAUGUUUCUUAUGGGUGUUUUUUCACGAACAGCUUACAAAAUCUACUAAAAUAGAAAAGUAUAAGUUUAAGUGAAAAUACACUGAUUUCUAUGUUCAAUUAAUACUGAAAUAUUUAGACUGAUUGUUCCUUUAUAUUGAAAGUGAUAUCUCACAGCAUUGAUAGUACUUAUGAAUGAUUGUUUUGAAAGAAUAAGAGAAUAUGUUUAUGAAUCAUUGUGUGAUAUCUGAAUGAUUUUCUAUGAUUGUUUGAUACCUGUAUGAGUGUGUGAUACAUGUAUGAGUCCUGAAUGAUCUUGUAUAUUGUUGCUGUCUACUCUUUUGUUUUUGAUAAAAGUCAACCAAAGAAAGUUGACAUAUUUGUUACGCCUUCAAAAUAAAUAGUAAAACAAAA